rnacentral:rRNA from 1 species
CAGGCUUAACACAUGCAAGUCGAGGGGCAGCAUGGUCUUAGCUUGCUAAGGCCGAUGGCGACCGGCGCACGGGUGAGUAACACGUAUCCAACCUGCCGUCUACUCUUGGACAGCCUUCUGAAAGGAAGAUUAAUACAAGAUGGCAUCAUGAGUCCGCAUGUUCACAUGAUUAAAGGUAUUCCGGUAGACGAUGGGGAUGCGUUCCAUUAGAUAGUAGGCGGGGUAACGGCCCACCUAGUCUUCGAUGGAUAGGGGUUCUGAGAGGAAUGUCCCCCACAUUGGAACUGAGACACGGUCCAAACUCCUACGGGAGGCAGCAGUGAGGAAUAUUGGUCAAUGGGCGCAGGCCUGAACCAGCCAAGUAGCGUGAAGGAUGACUGCCCUAUGGGUUGUAAACUUCUUUUAUAAAGGAAUAAAGUCGGGUAUGGAUACCCGUUUGCAUGUACUUUAUGAAUAAGGAUCGGCUAACUCCGUGCCAGCAGCCGCGGUAAUACGGAGGAUCCGAGCGUUAUCCGGAUUUAUUGGGUUUAAAGGGAGCGUAGAUGGAUGUUUAAGUCAGUUGUGAAAGUUUGCGGCUCAACCGUAAAAUUGCAGUUGAUACUGGAUAUCUUGAGUGCAGUUGAGGCAGGCGGAAUUCGUGGUGUAGCGGUGAAAUGCUUAGAUAUCACGAAGAACUCCGAUUGCGAAGGCAGCCUGCUAAGCUGCAACUGACACUGAGGCUCGAAAGUGUGGGUAUCAAACAGGAUUAGAUACCCUGGUAGUCCACACGGUAAACGAUGAAUACUCGCUGUUUGCGAUAUACGGCAAGCGGCCAAGCGAAAGCGUUAAGUAUUCCACCUGGGGAGUACGCCGGCAACGGUGAAACUCAAAGGAAUUGACGGGGGCCCGCACAAGCGGAGGAACAUGUGGUUUAAUUCGAUGAUACGCGAGGAACCUUACCCGGGCUUAAAUUGCAGAUGAAUUACGGUGAAAGCCGUAAGCCGCAAGGCAUCUGUGAAGGCGCUGCAUGGUUGUCGUCAGCUCGUGCCGUGAGGUGUCGGCUUAAGUGCCAUAACGAGCGCAACCCUUGUUGUCAGUUACUAACAGGUUCCGCUGAGGACUCUGACAAGACUGCCAUCGUAAGAUGUGAGGAAGGUGGGGAUGACGUCAAAUCAGCACGGCCCUUACGUCCGGGGCUACACACGUGUUACAAUGGGGGGUACAGAGGGCCGCUACCACGCGAGUGGAUGCCAAUCCCAAAAACCUCUCUCAGUUCGGACUGGAGUCUGCAACCCGACUCCACGAAGCUGGAUUCGCUAGUAAUCGCGCAUCAGCCACGGCGCGGUGAAUACGUUCCCGGGCCUUGUACACACCGCCCGUCAAGCCAUGGGAGCCGGGGGUACCUGAAGUGCGUAACCGCGAGGAGCGCCCUAGGGUAAAACUGGUGAC